GACACUUCUGAUUGAAGGCAUGGAAUCAAACAACUUAGGACUUGUUGGUCUGAUGAGCCAGCAUAUGUCACACAAUGCCCUAUUCAGACAGGACAAAGCUUUGUUUACAACUUUACCAUUACAGGUCAAAGAGGCACACUUCUAUGGCAUGCACAUAUCACUUGGCUAAGGGCUACAAUGCAUGGUGCUAUUGUCAUUUUGCCUAAAAGAGGCACUCCUUAUCCAUUUCCUAAACCUGACAAAGAAAAGAUAAUCAUUCUAGGUGAAUGGUGGAAAUCAGAUGUUGAAGCUGACUAAGUCCAGGCCAAACCACAAAUGUUCUUCUAACUGCAAACCAACCUAUUGGCAAAUACUUAAUAGCAAUAAC
rnacentral:lncRNA from 1 species